UUCUCCAGGCCGGCAAGAUCCGUCAAACAACUACGACCGGGAGCAUCUAGAUGGAGAUUUUGUGGCCGGAUCUCAUCGCAUCACCGCCCAGGUGCGGUGACCUUCCGUCGUCCGCUGCUGCAUCAACAGCGCGAUGGAUCGGAAGCAAGGCUGAUUAUCAGAAACGGCAACGACAUCACUAGACUGACGGCUGCACUGACAGCACUAGAACGCCUUUUUUCUUGCUGCCCCUGAUCAUCUAUGUCCCUUUCCUUCCUGCACAAAGCCUAACUAGGCAUGCUCUUGCUACAUGAAUGCAAUCCAACUACAAUUUCUCCUGCUCCUGGAAUCGGCAGUAGUACGGUGGUUGUUGCUGUUGCUAGGCUUCUUCCUUCUUUCACAGAGCCUGACCACAGAGCCGCCUGAUAUGUUCUUGAUGCUUCUUUCCUCAUGUUUGAGAGAGUUGCAGGUCUUGGUGGAUAAACAUAUCCGUGCUGGUGAUUUUAGUUCAUGUAUUUUUGCCCUGAUAUGUUCCUCCGUUUAGUGUAUCUUUUAAAUUGCUGCUAUUUCUACAUAUUUCUUGUUUUGAUUUGCAAGCAUGUUUCCUGUUCCAAGUUCAGACCCCCCAUGGGUAUUUGAAUUCAGAUACAAAUUUGUUACAUGAUAUUUAGUUUAUGUUAAUUUUAUAUUCAGAAUUUCGUAUCAUUGUUUGUGAUUUUCCUUUAGUAAUUUAAAUACCAGGUAUUGUAGACAGUCUCAUUUAGAUAUCUUGCAAUGUACAUGUAGUUUCAGGAGGAAAAUUGCUUUAUGGAGGCCUCAAGCAGGAGGCACAAGCCUGUGGCGCAUCUGAUAGCAGAGGCUACCAACAUCCUGUCCGUGGUCGAGGUGGCCAUGUACACACGCAUCGCCAUCGAGGAGGAUGCUGCUGCAUUGCUUGAGGAGAUCAUCCGGCGGGGAUGUGACCGCUGCGUGUUGCAGCGACAGCUGCACCGCGCAGUGAAGGACGACAACAUCCGGCUUAUCAGAGAAGAUUACUGACAUCUAGCUAAGGCCAAGGAUGAGGCCUGCCAUUGUACUCAGCAGUGGUCGAGGGGCACACCGGAAUUGGCCAUGCUGCACCGAGUUGAAUACCAUGACCUGGCCUUGACGGUGAACCAAGCUUCCGCCUUCCAGAACCGUUGAUUUCGCGUCAAGGAAAUCUCUUGAAGAACAAAAUGGUAUAUAAUGUGAGCACCCCAGCUGCAUUUGUCCAUCCUCAUAUCAGUUUGUCUGGUCUAAUGGAGGAUGAUGGUGUGUGUACUUCGUUGAGUGGUUGGUUGCAGAAUGGAAGGGUAGGAGUGGCGUCACGAUGAACAGCGAGGAGAUAUGACGAGUAUUAGAAGUGGGACUAGAGCCAUGAGAUUCUCUGAUGUCUGGAAGAGGCAAGCUGGAGCAUUCCAUUCCUCUAUGGUUAGGAAGCACACCUCGCUGUAGACAUCCCCUGACGGCCGGCCAAGAAACAAAGGGGGGUUUCAAAAGGGCUUCCUUUCCACCUUGGUUUCAGAGUUUGUGUUCAUGUUAUUAGCUAUAGAAAUGCAACUGUGUUGUGUAUGCAAAUGGGGUUGCGACAAAGCAGAGCUGAUUGCACUGCGCCCGCACAUAUCCCAAUCAGCUACAUGGGCCACAUCAUCUCCCGCGGCAGCCUUGGCGCUCCGGGGCGAUUCGAGCAAGGCCUGGAGCCAUCUCGGGCAUCUGUGUGGUGUUGGACGCCGCAAACUCAAUGGGAAACGGUGGCCUCAAGCGCGGGUCCGUCUUAAGUCCAUGUGCAAUCUGUCCCACCGGUGCCCGGCAGCGCCGAUGACCAUUUUCUCCUUCCACUGUCUUCUUUUCAUCGCCCCAGCCAGAUGUGCUUCCGGCAAGAAGGUAGUAGGUACGUGGCCCUGUUCUAACAGCUGUUCAGAAAUUCAUCUAAUUCUUGCUUGCAUUAUAUGUCUCAUCUUAGUUCUAACAGAUGUUCAGAGAUACUGAUUUUGAAAUUUUGCAGUCCAAUAGUAAUCCGUUAACCAUCAAACACAUGCAUACAUUUGUUAAUACUGACCGUAUACCUACUAAAGAUGCAUAGGCACUACGCGGCGUAAACCUUGUGCAGUAUAUAUAGAGAUGUAUUGGUACCUACACGAUUACUUGGUCCACAUUCGCUAAACAUAUACAGUGUUGUACAUUGACAUGUGAAAAGCAUGGUUAUAGGAUUUAUAACUACUAAAAAGGAGACUACAUGCCUAGCAUCAGCUAAGAAAUAACAACAGUAAUAGUGACCUCAUUUUUCAGUUUGAGGAAGGGGAGUUUUCCUGUGUGUAUAUGCCUACACAAUUGUAGAAGGGAAAAAGGAGGCAUUGGAGAAGGAGAAAUUAGAGGGUUGAUUGUCCCUGUCAUAGUCCUAGAAGAAAUGUAUCCCCUUGUGAGGAUUUGAUACCCUGCAAUAAGAAAUUUAGUGACGAGUUUCUAACAUGGCCAGAGGUAGUUCUCUUCUUAGUAAUAAUAUGCUUACAUCUAGAUUACUUGCCUAGAAGUCAGGAGUUCAUUUUUAUCAUCCUAAUUUUCUCAUUGCACCAACAUGUCGCGUCUGCUUUUAGGUACUACUCUAUGGACAGUCAUAGUCCCAUCAGAAACACAAAAUAAAUUAGCAUGAGUCCUCUUUGAGUGUCAUUCUGCCAGACAUUGUAUAAUGAUACUGCAUUACAAAAUUUUCUUCUAUAUUAUCUAUGCUCUUUGCUUCAAUGCACUCUCCUUCAGGUGCUAAAGAAUUUUCUAUCUCACUUCACGGUAAUCUUUUCAGUUAAACGUAAUGAUGAUAAAUUUUUGCAUGUCCAUGUAAAUAGUAAAUAAUUCCCUUUAUGAUCUGAGUGCUUAAUAUAAACUUCAAUGAGAACAGAUGUGUUGUGAUGAUCCAGUGAGAACAUGACCUGAAUUGGUGUCCUUGCUAUUUCGAGUCCUUGGUGGCGGCUCCCCUACUGCGUAGCUCCUGAGCGACAUAUAUACUUAUUCAAAAUGUUCACCAGUUUCCAAGUGUGUGUCGCUUUCUUGAAUCCAGGAUUUUAUUGUUUCAUUUAUGUUCAAUGGUGUAAUAAAAUUUUAGACAGAUCUGAACUUGAUAGCUAUUCUGCACGUCAAUGUACUAUCCAUGUACCACAUCCACGUCUGUCUACACUUUUUCUUGGUAGAUGAUUUCGCUGCAAUCACGUCCGAACGACGAACUAACAUUCAGGAGAACUAUGCAACACACUCUAGAAAAAAAUAUAUCUU